rnacentral:rRNA from 1 species
GAUGAACGCUGGCGGCGUGCCUAAUACAUGCAAGUCGAGCGAACAGACGAGGAGCUUGCUCCUCUGACGUUAGCGUCGGGCGGGUGAGUAACACGUGGAUAACCUACCUAUAAGACUGGGAUAACUUCGGGAAACCGGAGCUAAUACCGGAUAAUAUAUUGAACCGCAUGGUUCAAUAGUGAAAGACGGUUUUGCUGUCACUUAUAGAUGGAUCCGCGCCGCAUUAGCUAGUUGGUAAGGUAACGGCUUACCAAGGCGACGAUGCGUAGCCGACCUGAGAGGGUGAUCGGCCACACUGGAACUGAGACACGGUCCAGACUCCUACGGGAGGCAGCAGUAGGGAAUCUUCCGCAAUGGGCGAAAGCCUGACGGAGCAACGCCGCGUGAGUGAUGAAGGUCUUCGGAUCGUAAAACUCUGUUAUUAGGGAAGAACAAAUGUGUAAGUAACUAUGCACGUCUUGACGGUACCUAAUCAGAAAGCCACGGCUAACUACGUG